AGGACGAACGCUGGCGGCGUGCUUAACACAUGCAAGUCGAACGAUGAAGCCCUUCGGGGUGGAUUAGUGGCGAACGGGUGAGUAACACGUGGGCAACCUGCCCUCCACUCUGGGAUAACUCCGGGAAACCGGGGCUAAUACUGGAUAUGACCUGGGAUCGCAUGGUCCUGGGUGGAAAGUUUUUCGGUGGAGGAUGGGCCCGCGGCCUAUCAGCUUGUUGGUGGGGUGAUGGCCUACCAAGGCGGUGACGGGUAGCCGGCCUGAGAGGGCGACCGGCCACACUGGGACUGAGACACGGCCCAGACUCCUACGGGAGGCAGCAGUGGGAAUAUUGCGCAAUGGGCGGAAGCCUGACGCAGCGACGCCGCGUGGGGGAUGAAGGCCUUCGGGUUGUAAACCCUUCAGCAGGACGAAGCGCAAGUGACGGUACCUGCAGAAGAAGCGCCGGCUAACUACGCGCCAGCAGCCGC
rnacentral:rRNA from 1 species